rnacentral:rRNA from 1 species
UAGGGAAUCUUCGGCAAUGGACGAAAGUCUGACCGAGCAACGCCGCGUGAGUGAAGAAGGAUUUCGGAUCGUAAAACUCUGUUGUUAGAGAAGAACAAGGACGUUAGUAACUGAACGUCCCCUGACGGUAUCUAACCAGAAAGCCACGGCUAACUACGUGCCAGCAGCAGCGGUAAUACGUAGGUGGCAAGCGUUGUCCGGAUUUAAUGGGCGUAAAGCGAGCGCAGGCGGUUUCUUAAGUCUGAUGUGCAAGCCCCCGGCUCAACCGGGGAGGGUCAUUGUAAACUGUUAAACUUGAGUGCAGAAGAGGUGAGUGUAUUUCUCUGUGUAGCGCUGAAAUGCAUAGAUAUAAGGAGGAACACCAGUGGCGAAGCCGGCUCUCUGAUCUGUAACUGACUCUGAGGCUCGAAAGCGGAGGGAGCAAUCAUG